GGGGGGGUGGGGGGUGGGGGGCGCGUUGAAGAUGGACACCAUGUAUAAUGUGAUAUUCAAAGACCAUAUACUAGCAAAAUCAAUCCUACAAACAGACAAAAAAAUUCUAGGAACCCAACCAAAUUCCUGAUGAGAUAAAAUCUAGAAAAUGGUACAAGAAAUACCCAUAACAAAAAAAUGCCCAAAAAAAUUGCUUAUUCCUCAUUUUUGUAUAUGUAUUGUUAAUCAAAUUGAUCAUAAAUGUCGAAAAGAUUAUAUUACCACUGCAACCAUCUUCAUUCUUAUUGAAAGGGAAACAAGGUGAGUUGCACCCUAGUAAUGAUAACUUAUGCAACCAAAUAACCAAAAAUAAAAUCCACCAAAAAAUUCUAAUCCUGUAAGAGGAAUAAAGUAGAAUGUUGUAGGAGGGUAGCUUUCUAAAGUAAUGUGUACUAAAAAUUAAUCUUAUAAAAUAACACCAAAGCAUCUAUACCUAAAAUUCAACACAAUCCCAAACAUUUUUUCAUGGUUUUCAAGCAAAAACUUAAUAAGUUUCAAACCAGUUGGCAGUCAUUUUGGAUCAAAGUCAUUUAUCAACUAGAUCAUCUUGGAUCGAAGCCAGUUUUAACAAAAAUACAGUAAUAGAUCAGUUCCAAUAAACUAAAAAUUAGUAAGAGGAAAAAAAAACUUUAUAGAUGAUGAAGAGACAGAUAUCAACAAUAAAGAUGAAAGCCUGAAGUCUGAAAUCACGUAAACGUAAUCAAUUUACACAAGCACUCACCAAGAGAAUGCAAUCUCAGAACAGUUCCCAAUAGGAGCUUCUUAAUCUUGAUGACACUGGUAAAGUUAGCACAAAGCAAAAACAGAAUCCUUAUAAAACCUUAUAGUAAAUCCAAAAGCAAGUCCUUGUGCAAUGCUCCAAAGCAUUAAACCGAAAUUUUAAUAAAGCACGGCCCUAAAAUUAUUGAAGAAAUACAGCCUUGAGUAAGAAAUUGCUGAAGUCACCAACGAGUCUUAAAACAUGCACUUGCACCGCAGAAUUGAAGCAAUAGUCAUGUGCAUAAUACCUCAAUACAUAAAUCCACUACAUGUAUCAACGAAAUGUUUUCAAAUUAGUCAAUUUUAUCUCAAAAAGAUAUCUUUUGCAAAAGCUUGUAUGUUACAAGGUCAUUUUAGCUAGGACUUGAUGAAGAACCUAAAAAAGCACAAUUCAAUGCCGCAAAAUGACCGACAUCAGCACCCAAAAAAAACACUCAAAACUAAAAAUCAGAAGGAACAAAGAUUUAAUCAUAUAAUACAAUUAUUUCCAAAUAAAAACCACUUGCGCACUUCAAGGAAGUUCGUAAUUAAAAUAUUUAAUACGACCACCAAGAAACAAAAAACUCUUAGUCUUACAUAAUAUCGAAGUACAAAUGCGCAAGAACCAUAAGAACCUGAAAAUAUUAAAAAUCAUUACCAACGACCCUCACUACUUAGUCAGUUCAUGCAUUGACUACGUUAAUAGCUUACACAGUUACACUGUUCUCUACUCAUCUCUUUUUACCAAUUGUUCAGAGUUUUAAUAAUCCGGAGAUUGAAUAAUAUAUAAAUAAAUAGUACAAGCAUAUCCUACUAAACCUUUAUGAUACAAUUAUAUGUUUUGCAAGUGGUGAUGGUGAGUGUGCGUGCAAGCUCAGACCUCAGUAAGAACCUUACAAAUGAUGUUUGCCUCUACAUCAACAUAAUAAAAGUGGAAAACUGAAAAGGAAAACAGGACAAAUCUCUAUCCUGUUUCUUUUGACUUGACAAAAUAAUGAGCAUUAUAAUGAUUUGAAAAUAAAUAUACAAGUAUAGCAAUUGAAGUGAUUCUGCAAAAUUUCAAGAGUUCCUUUUUUGAUCAAACAAAUACAGAAAGAAAGAAAGAAAGAAAGAAAGAAAGAAUAUAAGAUCAAAUAAAGACAUUAAGCACAAAAAUUAUUUAAUUCCCAUCAAGUAAUAACCCUAACCCUAAAUAACCCUCAUCCCACCUUUAUCCAUCCAGAAGAUAUAAAAGAUCAUUCCUUUAAUUAGGGCAGUAAUGAAUGAUUACAUAUACAUGUUCACAUAUAUGAUCAUAAAUUAUAAUUGGAUCGAUAAAGAUGAAUAUUAGAUCAGAAUAAUUCAAAAAUCCAAUAUGAGAAUUAAGAAUUGAAGACACGGGGAUUACAAUAAUUUUUGUUGUUCACGUCUCUGUGUCUACGAGAUUGGUUGAAGAAGAAUUGCUGAUGAUUCAGGUUCUAGAUUGAAUGUGGUAUAUAACUAUAUAUUAUAAACAUUCAUCUGAAAUUCACUGGACGCCUCCAAAGAAAGAGGGCUGGAUAAUAUGGAGGUCAAAGAGCUCUUCAAUAAGAGACAUGAAA
rnacentral:lncRNA from 1 species